rnacentral:rRNA from 1 species
AUUGAACGCUGGCGGCAUGCCUUACAUAUGCAAGUCGAACGGUAACAGGUCUUCGGAUGCUGACGAGUGGCGAACGGGUGAGUAAUACAUCGGAACGUGCCUAGUAGUGGGGGAUAACUACUCGAAAGAGUGGCUAAUACCGCAUGAGAUCUACGGAUGAAAGCAGGGGAUCGCAAGACCUUGUGCUACUAGAGCGGACGAUGGCAGAUUAGGUAGUUGGUGGGAUAAAAGCUUACCAAGCCGACGAUCUGUAGCUGGUCUGAGAGGACGAUCAGCCACACUGGGACUGAGACACGGCCCAGACUCCUACGGGAGGCAGCAGUGGGGAAUUUUGGACAAUGGGCGCAAGCCUGAUCCAGCAAUGCCGCGUGCAGGAUGAAGGCCUUCGGGUUGUAAACUGCUUUUGUACGGAACGAAAAGCCCUGGGUUAAUACCCUGGGGUCAUGACGGUACCGUAAGAAUAAGCACCGGCUAACUACGUGCCAGCAGCCGCCGUAA